rnacentral:rRNA from 1 species
AGCAGCCGCGGUAAUUCCAGCUCCAAUAGCGUAUAUUAAAGUUGUUGCAGUUAAAAAGCUCGUAGUUGAAUUUCGGGAUUUGUCAGUUGGUCAGGCUUCACUGUCCGUAUUGACUUGAUGGAUUCUUACCUUCUGAAUAACCAGCAUGCUAUUAAGUUAGUGCGUUGGGGAAGCAGAUCUAUUACCUUGAAAAAAUUAGAGUGCUUAAAGCGAGCUAGUGCUUGAAUAGAUUAGCAUGGAAUAAUAAAAUAGGACGGCAUGGUUCUAUUUUGUUGGUUUCUAGGAUCACCGUAAUGAUUAAUAGGGAUAGUUGGGGGCAUUAGUAUUCAAUUGUCAGAGGUGAAAUUCUUGGAUUUAUUGAAGACUAACUUCUGCGAAAGCAUUUGCCAAGGAUGUUUUCAUUAAUCAAGAACGAAAGUUAGGGGAUCGAAGACGAUCAGAUACCGUCGUAGUCUUAACCAUAAACUAUGCCGACUAGGAAUCGGACGAUGUUAAUUUUAUAAUGACUCGUUCGGCACCU